AGCUUUGCACAGUGGCAGUAUCGUAGCCAAUGAGGUUUAUCCAAGGUGCAAUUAUUGCUAAUUGUACCCUUUACGCUUAGGAAAGUAAGAAUAGUACCUGACCCACAGGAGACAUUUAAUAAUCAAUAUUA
rnacentral:snRNA from 1 species